rnacentral:rRNA from 1 species
AUUGAACGCUGGCGGCGUGCCUAACACAUGCAAGUCGAGCGGUAACAGGUGUAGCAAUACAUGCUGACGAGCGGCGGACGGGUGAGUAACGCUUGGGAAUCUGCCUGUUAGUGGGGACAACCCGGGGAACUCGGGCUAAUACCGCAUACGCACUACGGUGGAAAGCCCGGGGACCGCAAGGCCUGGCGCUAACAGAUGAGCCCAAGUCGGAUUAGCUAGUUGGUAGGUAACGCCA